CUGUGAUCGUUAAAUAAAUGGUGACGCCAUUAGUAGCUGUUCCUCCUCCUCCUCCUCCUCCUCCUCCUCCUCGCCAUGGAGCAGUUCAAAAGACAAUCGAGCGAAUACUUACUUUCUAACAAUAAAGGUAUUUUAUCAAAAGUACGCGAUGAAGAUGUUCCGAAAAUGCUCUUCCUCUCUGUCAAUCCUAAUAAGAUUGAAGAGCAAGAGACAACCUGCGCGGCCUCUGGCUAUACCGACGGCGUCAGUAUCGGCAAGAAAGUCGUGGUGACAGAAUUCCGAGGCGAAGACACGUCAGAUUCCGUCACAAGAUUAUUGGAGAAAUUUGAGAGAUCUUUGAGAGAGAAGAGCAUAAACCAAGUACGCCGCGAGCUGCAACUCCGCAUCCUCAAACUCAGCAGUGUGGAGUUUAACACCAACACCCUGAGCACCCUGGAGAGUAACUUCUCCGACGAAAACGAUCAGCUCAGCAACGAGGAAGAAGAUAUUCUGGAAUUCACCGAAAUCUUCGAGAUGUUCAACAUAUCCGCGCCCGAGAAUAUCAAAGUCAAUUUCGGGAAUAUCAUUUCGAGCAAGAAGAUUCCGCUGAAGAGGGGCGACAUCGGGCAUUAUAGCAAGAAGACCUUCUUCGUAUACGCGGAGAACAAGAUCAUGAUGAAAAUCUGCGACUCCCUCACUCCCCAGGACGUUUAUUGCCUCUACGAGAUCAUACGGGAGUCGAAGGCCAUAGAGAAUGAUGACAAAGUGAAGGACCUUUUGUCUCAGGAGAUAGACCAAGAGGCGCUGGCGAAAGUGCGUGGCUUAAAGGACGUGGCCUUCUACUACCUCACGCUCAUAAUGAUGAGGAAACGACUCCUCAACCGCCUUUACACUCACAGACUCGUUUUCCUCUUCGAUCAGCUGAAGGCAAUGAAGAGAGGACAAGACCCUAAUAUCGAUCGCAUUCUGGACACCCUCAACCGAUACCCCGUGGCUUCUCGACCUCCAGGACUGUGCAUCGUGUUCAACAUGAUGGAGAACAGGAACGGGGCAGCCAAGGACCUCGUCAAAGUGAAGGAGCUGUUUGAAAAGGAAUAUAAGUUUGAUGUCUUCGUGAAAAUUGACCCCACAGCUGAAGAGAUAAAGACAAUUGUUAGCAAACUCAAGGCAGCUAGGAACAAGUUUUACGACAGCCUGGUCGUGUGGUUCAUGGGCCACGGAAACAAGACUUACCUUACUGUGAAAAAUGAACAGCGCAUUCAUCGACGCACCGACCUCAUCCAACCCUUCACGGAAAUUGAGUGGUUUAACAAGAAGCCCAAACUGUUCUUCAUACAGGCGUGUGCUGUGAAGAAAGAUCGAAAGAGGUUUUCGUCAACGUCGCAGCCCAAGGAACUGUCGGCUCUCCAGACAUCCACUGACUCCAUCGGAUGGCGCGCCCCUGCUAGCAACGAGUGGCAGGACAAGUACGCCAGUUAUACAGACGUGUCUCAGGUGAACUCCUUCGCUGACACGCUCAUCUCCUACGCGACCAUGUGGUACCAGUACGCUUCUAGAGGCGAGGAAGGUUCUCUGUACGUUGACACACUAGUGGACCAGCUGAGGCAAUAUGGGUGCAAGGAGAGCGUUGAAAAUGUUCUUCGUCGUGUUCACUAUAACGUGAACACAGUGGCUCUUUUGCACAGUGAACAGGGCCAGGACAUUACGUGGAAGCAGGCACCCUACUUUGAAUCCUCACUACAAAAGGCUUUCAUAUUCCCAAAGCCUGAAAGAGUAGUGGUAAAUUGAAGGAUUUGUAACCAUACAGUACAGAUAUAUUUGCACACUUAUGCAGUUACAACCUCCCAUGAACAUGCCUACAAGCUAUCAAUGAGCAGAGGCAUCAGCAAGGAACAAAGAGGAAACAGCCACCCAACCACUUCUGACUCAAUAGCUUCUUCAGAACAUACAUCUUACACUCACUGAGAUAUGAGACACCAGUUUGCUUACAACGUUUGACUUCAGUGAUGAGACAAAGAAAUAUGAAGUCUUAAUACAUUUAAACUGACAUUUAGACGAUUCACAAUUGUGUAUGGUAUAUGUCCUCUUCUAUGAUCAUCAAUGAACCACAGAAGCACUCUUAUUUAUUAAUAUGUUUUUGUGUUAUUAACUAAUGUAUACCCUUCUGGAUAAUCAUGUGUACAAACUAUCUAUUUAGUUUCCAUUAUUUUUCCUUUCUUGAUGCAACUACAGUGUCUAUAAACUGAAUAUGCAUUUUGUUAAUACUACUUCUGUUUCUAUAUAUUUUACUCUCUGUAUUUUAUUUUCCCUUGUUCUACUAAAUGAAAUAAUGACGAGGGCUUCAUUUGUAAGAAGAUCUCUUCUAAAUCAACAAUCAAAUAUUUUCUUUGAAUUCAUGUAAUACAUAAAAUUGUACCACUGCACAUAUACCUUUAUUGUAAUAAUCCUUGCAAGAAAAUGAAUGCCAGAGAGAGCAGGUGGUGUCUAUUUUAACUAAUAUUAUAAAUAACUGCAACAACAUCCAUUACUUCUUUAUAAAUAUAUGCCAUGCUCCCAAUCUGUGGUUUGGACUCAUA
rnacentral:misc_RNA from 1 species